rnacentral:snRNA from 1 species
UUUACUUCUCAGCCUUUUGGCCAAGAUCAAGUGCAAUAUCUGUUCUAGUUUUCUGAUCCAAAGCUUGCCCGCUCAAAGUACGCAUACCCUCUUUAUUUUCAAAAGCAUUUUAAGUUAAAAACUUUAUUGAAAUCCAUUUCUAUAAAAAUGCAUAUAUAUUAUAAUAGAAGCAGUACUG